GACGAACGCUGGCGGCGUGCUUAACACAUGCAAGUCGAACGGAAAGGCCCUGCUUUUGUGGGGUGCUCGAGUGGCGAACGGGUGAGUAACACGUGAGUAACCUGCCCUUGACUUUGGGAUAACUUCAGGAAACUGGGGCUAAUACCGGAUAGGAGCUCCUGCUGCAUGGUGGGGGUUGGAAAGUUUCGGCGGUUGGGAUGGACUCGCGGCUUAUCAGCUUGUUGGUGGGGUAGUGGCUUACCAAGGAUUUGACGGGUAGCCGGCCUGAGAGGGUGACCGGCCACAUUGGGACUGAGAUACGGCCCAGACUCCUACGGGAGGCAGCAGUGGGGAAUAUUGCACAAUGGGCGGAAGCCUGAUGCAGCAACGCCGCGUGCGGGAUGACGGCCUUCGGGUUGUAAACCGCUUUCGCCUGUGACGAAGCGUGAGUGACGGUAAUGGGUAAAGAAGCACCGGCUAACUACGUG
rnacentral:rRNA from 1 species